AGCUUAAUAACCUGUGUGCGUGCUUCUACCCUGCAUCGCCCAUGUGACAGGGAUAGGGGCUAACAAGUAGUGGGAUACGCCGCUUGGUCUCCGCCUGGGGUCAACGGAAGAAGAUAAUCAGGCUGACCCAACGUAUAGCCGGUUACGGGGCGAUACUCGGGUGACAUCAAAACUGUGACUACACUCGUAGAAACUUAUGUGCCGUUAUCUUCGGACAGGGGUUCGACUCCCCUCGGCUCCAUAU
rnacentral:tmRNA from 1 species